UACGAAGGGUGCAAGCGUUACUCGGAAUUACUGGGCGUAAAGCGUGCGUAGGUGGUUUGUUAAGUCUGAUGUGAAAGCCCUGGGCUCAACCUGGGAAUUGCAUUGGAUACUGGCAGGCUAGAGUGCGGUAGAGGGUAGUGGAAUUCCGGUGUAGCAGUGAAAUGCGUAGAGAUCGGGAGGAACACCAGUGGCGAAGGCGGUUCUCUGGGAAUGACCUGACGCUGAGGAGCGAAAGCGUGGGAGCAACAGG
rnacentral:rRNA from 1 species